AUUAAAGAUCAUGUUUGAGCAGUGGGCAGACCGACAGAUCAAAUGACAGGUUGAACUAAGAAUGAGGUUUUCCUGAGGAAGUGUAGGGGCUAUUCAAAGCGCCUCAAGAAAGUGGCUUCAAUCAUUGCUGCUGGUGCAGUGCCUGGAAGCUGCCUGGAUCUCCUUGCGAUGCUGAAAGUGGGACGUUGCCCAUCGAAAGAUCUGGGAGGUUGAAAUGGAUCUAGUCACCACUUUCCACGUUGGGAAGAAUGAGCACAGUGCCAGCUCUUCAGCCACAAAAGUAAUCGAAGCUGAAGGGUGAGGAAAAAAAUUAACAUUCAGUUUGCAAUGCUGUGAUCACAAAGAAGCAGCUUCAGACUAAACUGGAAUCACAGAUGGAUACUCGACAGCUGUGGCAGGACUUGCACAUGAUAACUUCCUGCAAGGCAAGGUCGGGUAGCAGUGGCAAUGAACCAUCACUCUCAGAUGAGCUGAAGAUGCCUUUUGUGCUGCUUUGAACGGGAGAACAACGACAUACCCAGAGGAACCCCCAGUUCUCCAGAUGACCCUCUAAUUUCAGUCUCUGAGGCUGAUGUCUGGGCACCCUUCAAGAGGCUGAAUCCAUGAAAGGAAUCUGAUCUGAUCCAGACAGCAUACCUGAUUGAUUAUUGUCAUGGUGAGUGCUGGCAAUAACAGAACUCAGGUGCGGAGGAAGGGCAUACUCUGUCGCGGAGAGCAAUGACUGAACCCAGGAGUGGAGGAGCGACAAGACUCUCUUGCAGAGAUGGAAACAACAUCAGAAUACCAACAGAGCAUUGGCGGCACGACUGAUUCAAAUCAUUCUCCAUACAAAGGAUCCCGCGAUCAGCGCUAAAUGAGGGUCUGCAUUAAAUGAUCAUAGAAAGUGGAAACCGUGCCAAUCAGAAUCAACUUGACAAAUUUGGACAGAAAGCACAAGGGCUUGAUGACUCUUGUUAAGAUAACAAUUAAUAAAUACAGGUGCUUGUG